rnacentral:lncRNA from 13 species
CAUUUGCAUAAGACAGAUAGCAACACUGCCAUUGAAAUACUGCUGAUAAAGAAAAUAUUGCUGAGAAUUUUGAAAGCACUGCCCACGAUAAUGUAAUAGAAAACAUAGACGAAGAUUUAAUAGCUACAGUAAAAGAGAGACCAGCCCUGUAUGACUAUCGAAUACCCGUAAAGGAACGAGGAAGGAAACAGAAAUAUCAUUUGUGGCAGGAAGUCAGCAACUGUUUAAAAGAGAAAAAAAAGGUUAAUGCAGAAGACUACGAAGAAGCUUAUGAAGCGUAUGACAAUGUAUCAGAGUUGUCUGAAAAUGUUCAACGAGUAGAAAACGAAUAUUUCGAGAAAAGAGUAAAGUGCAUAAGAAAAGUAUUAUUAAUUAAUAAAGUAAAUGAUUGGAAAAGAUCACAAUUAAGUUGGCACAAAGAAAUACAAAAACGACAAUUAGUGAAAAACUCUCUUACUACAUCGUUUUUUUGAAAAGAAAAGAAAAGAAAAAACACCAAUUUUGGGUUCGAUCAAUCUUUAUUGAAGAAAGGAGAUUUUAUCAAGGAGAUAGUGACAAUUUAAUUAUAGA